AACGAACGCUGGCGGCGCGCCUAAUACAUGCAAGUCGAGCGAGAAGACGUAGCAAUACGUUUGUAAAGCGGCGAACGGGUGAGGAAUACAUGGGUAACCUACCCUCGAGUGGGGAAUAACUAGCCGAAAGGUUAGCUAAUACCGCGUACGCUCCUUGGACUUCGGUUCAGGGAGGAAAGCGAUACCGUGGGUAUCGCGCUCUUGGAUGGGCUCAUGUCCUAUCAGCUUGUUGGUGAGGAACGGCUCACCAAGGCUUCGACGGGUAGCUGGUCUGAGAGGACGAUCAGCCACACUGGCACUGCGACACGGGCC
rnacentral:rRNA from 1 species